AAGGCCCCCACAAGAAACGUUGAGCAUGUGGCUAAUUUGACUCAAACGCGGAAAUCUACCGGGUCCGGACACACUGAAGGAUUACAGACAGUUGCUCUAUACUACUUAAAUCGUUGGCUGGAUCGAAAUAAUAUAGAUCUUUCAUGAUUAUGUGAUAGGUGGUGCAUGGCCGUUCCUAGUUCGUGGAGUGAUCUGUCUGCUUAAAUUGCGUUUCAACAUAUUUAUUUAUGUUUGUACACCGAUACUAUUUGAUCAUUUAGUUGGUCUAGUAUUUUAGUUGUGCUUUCAUAUUUGAACGCAACGGACGUGAUUGCAACCCCUUGUUGAAUUGGCACUUUACUGCAAUUCACUUUCAUUGGUCCUUUAUUGAACCUUUGGGAAAACUCGGGGGACCGCUGAACGAUUUUCCUUUAAACCAGAGGAAGAUUGCGGCAAUAACAGGUCUGUGAUGCCCUUAGAUGUCCCGGGCCGCACACGUGCUACACUGAUUGCGCCAGUACGUGUCCCAUUCGCUUAGAACCAUUGGUUUUGGUAGUUAUACUGAUGGAUUGUUGUAGCUUGCUACUUCAAACCUGAUUUAUGGCUCCACCCAAUAUCGUCUAGUCUGAGAAGGCUGGGUAAUCUAUUUGAAGUGGUGAUUUUUCCUCGUUGCGAGCAUUUUAAUAAAUGGUUUCGUACUGUCCCUGCAGUACAAUUUCUAGUACGCGGUGCGACAACUAUGAUAUUGCCUGCCACACAUGUUCCUAUUUAUUCCCAGUGGGGACAGGCAUUUGGCAAUUCUGUGUCUCGUUCUUAACUAGGAAUGCCUUGUACGGGUCUUUGGUUCAACAGACCACCCGGAAUACGUCCCUGCCCUUUGUACACACCGCCCGUCGCUCUUACCGAUGAUUUUCGCUGUGAGUUUGAAGGACUGAAUCCGACCUUAUAGGAUUUGGAAAUUCUGUCAAACAGUGAGAUUUAAAGGAAAGAGAAGUCGUAACAAGGCAU
rnacentral:rRNA from 1 species